rnacentral:tRNA from 1 species
GCCCCGAUGCUGAAAUUGGUAGACAGACGCGCCUUAGGAGCGCGCGCCGAGAGGCGUGAGAGUUCGAGUCUCUCUUGGGGCACUA